UCUUCAAUCUGUGGGACCAUUUUGAAUUACCUUCACAUGUUCUUGGACUUACACCACGAUUUUCAGUGUGUUUGUUUUCUCCGAUUGAAACCCAGCUGAGCGUCAAUCUGUGGAUUUAGCACACCAGUUCAUGGCUCCAUACAUCUAAUAGUGUAGCUUAAUUUGUGUUAAUGUCCUGAAUUCUAAUCUCGUCCAAAAACCUAUUCUGCUUUUCCAUUGGUGAUAAAGCUCAGGAGUGGGAACUAUACCACAAACACUUAAUUAUGUGUUGUGAAAUUAUUGGCGACUAUAAUCAUUCUGGAAUACAAAUACUAUAGUUUCUCUGUUUGCACAGGAAAAUUGGUUCCUUCUUGGGCUUUUGGUCCAUUUGUUUCUUG
rnacentral:sRNA from 1 species